rnacentral:rRNA from 1 species
GAUGAACGCUGGCGGCGUGCUUAACACAUGCAAGUCGAACGGGAAACCUUUUAUUGAAGCUUCGGCAGAUUUAGCUGGUUUCUAGUGGCGGACGGGUGAUUAACGCGUGGGUAACCUGCCUUAUACAGGGGGAUAACAACCAGAAAUGGUUGCUAAUACCGCAUAAGCGCACAGGACCGCAUGGUCCGGUGUGAAAAACUCCGGUGGUAUAAGAUGGACCCGCGUUGGAUUAGCUAGUUGGCAGGGUAACGGCCUACCAAGGCGACGAUCCAUAGCCGGCCUGAGAGGGUGAACGGCCACAUUGGGACUGAGACACGGCCCAGACUCCUACGGGAGGCAGCAGUGGGGAAUAUUGCACAAUGGGGGAAACCCUGAUGCAGCGACGCCGCGUGAAGGAAGAAGUAUCUCGGUAUGUAAACUUCUAUCAGCAGGGAAGAUAGUGACGGUACCUGACUAAGAAGCCCCGGCUAACUACGUG